CAGCCGCCGCGGUAAUACGUAGGGUGCGAGCGUUACUCGGAUUUACUGGGCGUAAAGCGUGCGCAGGCGGCCCGUUAAGACAGGUGUGAAAUCCCUGGGCUCAACCUAGGAAUUGCGCUUGUGACUGGCGGGCUCGAGUACGGUAGAGGGGGGUGGAAUUCCUGGUGUAGCAGUGAAAUGCGUAGAGAUCAGGAGGAACACCGAUGGCGAAGGCAGCCCCCUGGGCCUGUACUGACGCUCAUGCACGAAAGCGUGGGGAGCAAACAGGAUUAGAUACCCGGGUAGUCCACGCCCUAAACGAUGGGUACUAGCCGUUUGGUGCGCGAUAGCGCUGAGUGGCGAAGCUAACGCGUGAAGUACCCCGCCUGGGGAGUACGGCCGCAAGGUUGAAACUUAAAGGAAUUGGCGGG
rnacentral:rRNA from 1 species